GUCGGUUUCUGUUGCUUUAAAAAAAAGUUUCCUUUUGGCGAGGGCGGUGAGGGGUUGUUUACUGGGUCUGCAAAGCCUCACUGUGGGUUGCAGCUGGGGGGUGGAUUUGGGACCAAAGUCUGCACCCACAACCCUGAACCUCUGGAUCCUGUGCAAAGGCAAGGUGUGUGGAAUAAACACCUGCUGUGCACCCAGCUGGACUCUACAGCACCUACUGUGUAUUCACACUCCUGCAGGAACCCGUGUUCUUAAAGAUGAAUAAUGCUCCACCCCCCAUGCUGGGUCUUCUGGGGAUGAGCCACAGCCUGGAGGAGCUGAGGAGGCCACAUCACAUGAGGAAGCUUUACUGUUUCCCCUUCUCCUGAAAUGUGUCUGGGAUGGAGAGUGUGGAGAGUGGGCCCACCUUUAUCUGGGUCCACUCAGGCUGCUGCAGAGACUACCCCAGACUGGGUGGCUGAUAGACAAGACAUUCAUUUUCCACACUUCCUGAGACUGAGAAGUCUGAGAUGAAGGAUCUUGGAGGACCUGGGGAUCAACAGCCAGACUUGGAUGCUCAGGAUGAUUUGGGAUGUGCUUCUAACUACCUGUACUGUCUGGAGAAACCUAGAAGCAAGGAAGCUGCCACCAUGAUGCAGCGGGGAGUCCGAGGCCCUGGGAGGUCAUAUGACUCAUUCAAGGUCAUCCUGCUGUGGCAGAGAUGCGAUGAAGCCCUGGCUUUGUGAGUACCUGGUCUAACCUUCUCAUUAUUCUGGAGGAAGCUCUGAGACAAAGGUAGGGUGCAAGAGGCCAGGAGCAAAGGUAGAGGAGGCCUAGGCCUGGUUGGGUCCCGCCCCAACUGACCGUGACUUCCUUUAGCCUCUAUGAAUCUGUCGUGGAGGGAUGAAUCCCUGCUAUGCUCCCUUUUCAGGCUGCUGGGCCACCCAUGGUCAUUGCGGUAAUUUAAGAACACAGCCAUACGUUCUUCAACACUCCUCUUAUUGAGUAACAACCUCUGUGAUCCCUCCCCUUUAGUCUGGGCAGAUUUGUGACUGCUUCACCCUGCAGAGAAUGGCAGAAGAGAUGCCAAGUUAGUAAAGACCAUGCAGCUUUUGCUCACUGGCUCAUGUGCUCCUGGAGCCCUGAGCCACCACAGAGGGUGUAAGAAGAAUCACUGAUCGGGGGCUGCCAUGCUGUAAGGAUGCCCAAGCCACAAGGAGAGUCUGGGUUUAGGCACUCUGGUUAGCAGUCCCAGCUGAGCCCAGCCAUCAAGCCUCUCCUGCUGUUUGAGUUUUCCCAGCUGAGGCCUCAGAUGUCAUGGAGCAGAGACAAAUCUGCCCUGUUAUGCUCGGUCUGAACUCCUGGCCCAUAGAACCUGGGAGCAGGG
rnacentral:lncRNA from 1 species